rnacentral:rRNA from 1 species
UACGUAGGGUGCAAGCGUUAAUCGGAAUACUGGGCGUAAAGCGUGCGCAGGCGGUGAUGUAAGACGGAUGUGAAAUCCCUGGGCUUAACCUGGGAAUGGCAUUGGUGACUGCACGGGCUAGAGUGUGUCAGAGGGGGGGGGGGUAGAAAUUCCACGUGUAGCAGUGAAAAAUGCGUAGAGAUGUGGGAGGGAAAUACCCGAUG